AUGUAAUUUAGUUCAAAAUAUCAGCUUUUUUUUUGCUUUGAGGAUUGUGUUCGUAGUAGCUGCUGGUGUUCUACCAUUAGGUCCAUUAAUCUAUGUCAUUAAUUGGAGUGCUACCAAGGAAUUCAUUUGUCAUGAUAAAUCAAAUCAGUGAUGCAUAGAACUCAAAUAUAUUAUUAUACUGUUCAAAUAUUGCAAUAUUAAGUUGCUAGCAGUCAUGUUACUCUUGUA